UACUUUGUGCAGUGGCAGUAUCGUAGCCAGUGAGGUUUAUCUGAGGCGCGAUUAUUGCUAAUUGAAAACUUUUCCCAUAAACAAGGCUUCUUGUUGACAUGAGUUGUGGUUCUAGUCCACAGGGAACAACUAAUUGUUGAAUUGGGGUACAUAGGGUAAAGCAGUCCU
rnacentral:snRNA from 1 species